AUAAGUGGUUUUCCCAGGGCGAGGCUUAUCCAUUGCACUAGGGAUGUGCUGACCCCUGCGAUUUCCCCAAAUGCGGAGAAACUCGACUGCAUAAUUUGUGGUAGUGGGGGACUGCGCUCUCCCCU
ensembl:snRNA Gm22456 predicted gene, 22456